rnacentral:rRNA from 1 species
UUUGGCGUCCGAGUUGUAAUUUGAAGAGGGUAUCUUUGGGCCCGGCUCUUGUCUAUGUUCCUUGGAACAGGACGUCACAGAGGGUGAGAAUCCCGUGCGAUGAGAUGACCCGGGUCUGUGUAAAGUUCCUUCGACGAGUCGAGUUGUUUGGGAAUGCAGCUCUAAGUGGGUGGUAAAUUCCAUCUAAAGCUAAAUAUUGGCGAGAGACCGAUAGCGAACAAGUACAGUGAUGGAAAGAUGAAAAGAACUUUGAAAAGAGAGUGAAAAAGUACGUGAAAUUGUUGAAAGGGAAGGGCUUGAGAUCAGACUUGGUAUUUUGCAUGCUGCUCUCUCGGGGGCGGCCGCUGCGGUUUACCGGGCCAGCAUCGGUUUGGAGCGGCAGGAUAAUGGCGGAGGAUUGUGGCACGGCUUC